CCAAGGUGAAUUUGCAAGAUAAACAUGUUUCUUUACUUAGCCAUAAAGAGUUUCACUUCACUAAGGACACCAACUCAUUUGGCCACAUCAAAAAUCAAGAGAGGAUAAUCCAAGCUCCCAUGGAAACUACAUCAUCCGGCAAAGGAAAGUUCAAAACCAAUCAUGAUACUUUUGCUUAGCUUUGAAGAGUUUGGAUUGGAUGAGGACUUUAUCACCUUAAAGAUUAGGAGUUUAAAUAAAAAUGUAACUUAUCUUUUCUUGAAAUCCUAUCUUAGCUAAACCUAUGGAGGAAGAUUGAUCAAGAUUACAUCACAUGAAGAUCAAGGGCUAAGAUCAUUGCAUUCAACCAAAGCAUUCCAAAAGUAAAGAGUUUGAAUUUUGUAUGCAAUCUUGAAGAUUAAGAUAAAGCUUUAUCUCUUAAUUUUUGAAUUAAACUCAAUCACUUGUAAAACCUACCCCUUUGGUCGAACCUAUGCCUUUAAAUAGGUAAGGCCAUUCACUUGUUUCAUCAUCCCACUUCUCUUCUCUCUAUAGUUUCUUUAGUUUUUAGUUCUUUAUUUCGUUUUAGUAAGGUAUUGGCAUAGGUGGCAAAUUUGCCAAUUGGCAAGCUUUUGUUCUUUAAAUCUUUUUCUUGUUUUUAAAGUUACAAAUCUUGUUUCUUGUUUUCUUUAAUUUCGGCACAAGCAAUCUCUAAUUUUCAAGAUCCAAGUUUCUUUGUUUUCUUUGCAAGAUUCGGCUACAUUCAACUUUUUUGUUCUUUAUUUUCUUUCAUGCAAUUUUCAUUUACUUCAAAUCAAUUCAGCAUUCUCAAGGAUUUCUUGCUUGCCAUCUUUAAUUCUUUUAUUUGCAAUCUUUCAAUUCUUUGCUUUAGGAUUAGUUGUUGGCAUUAAUCUUUUACUUCUCAAGUAAUAGUUGAUGAAGUUAAGAAUCUUACCUAUAAAUGGCUUUUAAUCUUUACUCCAAUCCUGUAAUCCUAAAACCCUAGAUAUUAGAGGAGAUGAUACUUGAAAUGUUUUACUUUAUUACUUGAUCUGUAUACUUACAAGCUCUAUACAAAAAGCAACAAUCAUAUAUUAGUGACCAUCAAUUACACUAAUUACAAGUUGUAUAUGUUAGAUUGGAACUUACAUGACUGUCUGAUUUAAGAAGCCUCCAUACUUGUUUUCAAGGGCUUCCAGUGAGAAACCUUUUUUUUUCUUUUUGGUUUUUUGCUGCUAGCAAAAUUCCAGAAAACUGCGUAAUUAACAAGAAAGAAUCAAGUUUCCAACCUGGGAAUUUUUUAACAAAUUGGUCCCAAGCACUCAGCCCUUUCCUACCAGAUUUAGUUGAUCCUUCAAUCUGGACUCAAUUUAGUUACUUAUGUUAUUAUCAGCAUAAGAGGGAAAUACUAUUACUUGAAUCAAAUACUAAAACUAUAGGUGACUAACACCCAGAAUUUAAUUAUAAAGGAAAAAAAAAAAAAGAUGGUCCGAAAAUUCAAAGAUUAUGAACAAAAAGACAGAAAAUACUAAGAUUAAUUGUAUGUAUUGCAUCAUAUAUCAUUUGAUAUUCAGUGACAUCAGAUUUUGCUCACCUGAGCAACAGUAGUCGAUGUUCCAAAAAUAAAAUCACUUGGAAAGUUGGAUCACUUGACAUUCAAAUAUUCUUUUUAGAACCAUUUUCUAGGAUGCUUGAGUUAUUGCAUGUAUAUCAAAAUUUUAUUGUGUUGAAGACAAAAUAAGCAAAAAAACAAAUAAAAAAAAAAAAACCAUAAGAAAAGCAAGAAGGAUGGGCAAACUUUGGCUGUGCACAGACAAGCAGACAAGCAAAAUAAAGGUAGAGAUUGAUCGGACUCUGUUGAGAAUUCCCAGCUGAUGAAAUUUACGACAUUCUUGAUCUUGUAGCCUCUGCUAUUUUUUUAACACGUAUAGAUACAGGGAUAAUGUAGAAAAAGAUUCAGCUACUUCCUGAAUUGAAGCUCUCUUAGGCUUUAAGACUGAAUUUGAAUGUUUUAAGAUACGAGGGAUGCGACUCUCUUUAUAUAUAAGAAUCCCAUCAAAACCAAGAAAUCUAGUUUACUGGUUAUUAUUCGCUGAGAAUAUUAAUGUGACAACCAUGAAUGAAACAAUGUUUCCCCUUAUCUGGCCUUCUAGUUGACGAACCGUCAGUCUCUUACAAUUUUGUCCUCAGAAUAGGCUGUUUUGUUAGCCAAUGUCCUGAUUUUUGGAUAAAGUUUAUUCAGUUUCUAGUAUUAAUUUACAUUACGAGUAUGCUUAUGUUAAAGGUCAUUUACAGGUACAACAGUACAGUGAAAGGCCCUAAUUUAAUAAAAAUUUAAUUCUAAAAAAAUCGGUUUGAACUGAAAAAUUUUAAUAAUUUUGAAAAUAAGCCAACAUUUUCCAGUUGAUUAAUUAUUCGAUUUUUAUCCAAAAAAAAAUAUUAAUUAUCCUUUUCAUGGUCAAAUUUGAGAGAAUUUAUCAUAAAAUAUGAAUAAAAUUAUCAUCUUAUUAAUAAAAAAUCUUUUUUAUUGAUUCUUAAAUCGAUCAGUGUCAUUGAAGUUGAUUUAUCCAAUGCCUUAUCCGAUGCCCCUUCCCUUCAACCAGAAAGAAACCUACCCACUGACUCCCUCAUCCCUCAAAAUCAAAUUUCUUCUAAAAGAUCAAUCCAUAAUUAUCUUUCAAAUUCAAUUCACAAUAACUUUAAUCAAAAUCCACGCUAACAGACACCCACAGAAACAAAAAAAAAAAUCAAAACAAAACAAAACCAAAUGGCCACCAUUAACGAUAUACCCGACGUAAUUUUAGCGAAUAUCUUCGCUUCCAUUUCCGACACCAGAACCCGGAACUCCCUUUCCCUCGUCAGCCGUAAGUGUAUGCUUCUAGAAAGGGCCACGCGCUUCUCCCUCAUACUCCGCGGUAACGCAAGGGACCUUUUCAUGAUCCCCACCUGUUUCAGAUCCGUUACUGACUUGGACCUCUCCUUGCUCUCCCCUUGGGGCCACUGGGUACUCUCCUCUUCUCCGCUGUCCGAUCCUCAGAUUUUGGCCCAUCGCCUCCGCGUGGCGUUCCCUGCGGUGACGUCCUUGACGGUCUACGCUAGAUCGCCGUCGACGAUUGGGAUGUUGGCUCAACAAUGGCCUGGGUUGAAGCGUGUGAAGCUGGUGAGGUGGCACCAACGGCUCGCUCAGUGGCCAACCGGAGCGGAUUUUUUUUCUUUGUUGGAGCAGUGCGAAGAUCUGAGUUGGCUUGAUUUGUCGAGUUUUCAUUACUGGCCUGAGGAUCUCCCCCCGGUUCUUCCAGCUUGCCCCAAGGUAUCAGCCUCGUUAGUCCACUUGAAUUUGCUAACGACGUCGCUUGCGGAAGGGUUUCAGUCACGGGAAAUUAGGGAAAUCACGACGGCUUGUCCUAACUUGAAGAGCUUUCUGGUGGCUUGUAAUUUUGAUCCGAGGCGCGUUGGGUUCGUGGGAGACGGGACUUUGUUAGCUGUGGCGAAUAAUUGUCCUAAAUUGACGCUUUUGCAUUUGGCCGAUAUAUCGUUGUUGGCUGAUGUUAGAGGUGAUCCGGAUAACGAAGGAUUUACUUCUGAGGAUGCUAUGAUUAGCAGAGGGACGCUGGUGGAGUUUUUCGCUGGGUUGCCGUCGCUUCAGGAGCUAGCGCUUGAUGUUUGUAUGAACGUGAGGGAUACUGCGUUGGCAUUGGAAAUUUUGAAUUCUAAAUGCAAGGAUUUGAAAGUGCUUAAGUUGGGGCAGUUUCAUGGGAUUUGUCUGGCGAUUGAAUCUCAGCUUGAUGGGAUUGCCUUGUGUUCGGGGCUGGAAGAUUUGUCUAUUAAGAAUUCUGGGGAUUUGACGGACAUGGGAUUGAUUGCAAUUGGGAGAGGUUGUUGUAAGCUGUCUACAUUUGAGGUUCAAGGGUGUAGAAGAAUUACGGAGAAGGGACUCAGGACUAUGGUUUGCUUGCUAAGAAAUACUUUGGUUAAAGUCAAGAUUUCAUGUUGUAAGAAUCUUGAUGCUGCAGCAUCAUUGAGAGCCGUGGAGCCAAUCCGUGAUCGGAUUCAAUGGCUGCACAUUGAUUGUGUCUGGGAUGGAUUGGAGGAGACUGGGAAUUCAGAGCAGUCUGGUCAUGGUUUAGGCCACUACCAAGUGGAGGAACCAUCCGGUUUAUUUAGCUUCUUUGGAAGUGAGUAUGAUCCAAACGUGAGCAGGAAGAAAUGCAAAUUCUCCUUUGACUUGAGUGAUUCUUACGUUAUGGAAAGCAAUGACGUCUACGGAUUUUGGUUUAAGAAAUGGGAUAAGUUGCAAUACCUUUCUCUUUGGAUUGGUGUUGGUGAGCUUCUCACUCCAUUGUCAACUGCAGGCCUUGAGGACUGUCCUAAUUUGAAGGAGAUUCGAAUAAGGGUGGAAGGAGAUUGCAGGGGACGCCACAAACCAUCUGUACGUGCAUUUGGAUUGAGCUGCCUUGCACGCUACCCUCGGCUUUCAAAGAUGCAAUUAGAUUGUGGUGAAACCAUAGGUUAUGUCCUAACAGCACCGUCAGGGCAAAUGGACUUAAGUUUGUGGGAAAGGUUUUACCUCAAUGGCAUUGGGGAGUUGAGGCUAAGUGAAUUAGAUUAUUGGCCUCCACAAGACAGGGAUGUCAACCAGAGGAGUCUCUCACUCCCUGCGGCUGGAUUGCUUGCGGAAUGUCUUGAGCUUAGAAAGCUAUUCAUCCACGGGACGGCUCAUGAACACUUCAUGAGGUUCCUUCUUGGAAUCCCUAACCUCAGAGAUGUGCAGCUGAGAGAAGACUACUAUCCGGCACCAGAGAAUGAUACGAGUACAGAAAUGAGAGCAGGCUCAUGUAGUCGCUUUGAAGCUGCCCUGAAUAGGCGACCGAUCCUAGAUUGAAAUAAGUUAAAUGAUGAGAACCCUAGACCCGAUUAUGCUGGGUAAGAACAGGAGGGUUUGUUUCCCACCAAUUUGCGCAUGUACAAGUUUUUCAUUUUUCAAAGAAAACAUGCGAAGGUCCAUACAUGUCUGCAUUUGAUUUUUACUAGGAUUUUUCCCCCGCUUUGCUGGGAGCAUUUUUUUUUAUUUUGUUUGAAACUUGUAAGGUUAAACAUUUCUUUUAGUAUGUAAAUAAAGCAUAGAGAGAGAGAGAGAGAGAGAGAGAGAGAGAAAAGGAAAUUUAUAACAAGAUUAUUGUAAAAAAUAUUUAAUAUUUCAAUGAAAAUGAUAAGCAAAAUAUAGGAAAAUUAUUAAAUACAUAUUCUAUUGGAAUAUAUACGCACACAUCUUAAAUUGUUUGUCAUAAAAAAUAAAAGUAGUACAUCACAAAAAAUUAUAGUUAGAAAUGUCUAGAAGCAAUUGUUUAAGGCCGGCUGAGAAAAUAAUGUUAUGGGGAAUGUUUUAAAGUGGUCUUUAAAGAACCAAAGAAUCAAACAUUUUCUAGCACGUGAAAAUGCUUGUUUUCUUCCAAAAAAAAAAAAAAAAAUCAUCACUAUAAUAGCCAACAUAUGAACAUGUUUGCUUUCCUUUAUAGCCUUGCUAUUAUGUUAGAAUUAACUAUACAAAACGUAUCUCGUCGUCUGCCUUGCAAUUGCUUCUUUCAGUCUUUGCUUGUACUUUUGCUGAGCGUGGUACUUUUUCUUGUCAACCGGUCGAGGAACUUGUGGUUUUUCACCAUGCUGUUGGCUACACCAGAAUUUGCCAGCGCAGAAGCGUAAUGUGGAGUUCAGCAAUUGUUCCUAGCUCUAUUAGCAUCUGAUCAGCUGCUGCUAUUUCCUGGUGGCUCUAUUGAACGUUGAUUGGUACAUUUUCAUAGCUAUAAUUUUUAUAGAAAUAUUGUUAGUAAAUUAGUGGCGAGUAUAACUUGUAUAUUGACUUUAAAUAU